GUCGGUGGCCGAUUCUCCCCACCGGGCCGAGCUCCCCGCGGUGGAAGUCAGUUGAAUACGAAUCCGGCUUUGGGGACGGAUUUUAUGUUUCUGGGCCUCGUUUUCCUGGUGUGUGCGGUUUUAGAGCAUACGGUAAACGAAGCCUCUUGAGGCUCACUCGGGGGGUUCACAACGUGUGGGCCAGUGUGUGCUCCUGUCUGCACGAGGGUCACUGUUCUGUGUCAGGAACAGUCUUCCAGCCGGGCCGGGCCGGGCCGGGCCAGCAAAAUUCCCGGAGGCUCUGAUGUCCCUGCAGAGGCGCUGAGAGGCACCAGUAGGAAUCCAGCUCAGGCGUUGCUGGUCUGUCCGUAGUGCUGACGGGGGUCUCGGGGGGCCAGGGGCAGUGUGCCAGGAGCUCUCAGUGGAAGGGUGGGGAGGGUCAGGAAGGGCUUGAUGACCUCGGAAGGACCCUGAGAGUCCUGCUUUGCUUUCUCAGGUCCCUGCAAGGAGGCUCCCAAGGCAUUGGCCCCACGGAGCUGGUCUCUGCGGCCCAGGCAUCUACGUGGUGGUUUUGGACCCAGAUGGACGCCAGUAUUGUAUUGACCAUGCGCUACCAGUGACUUCACAUGGCGCAAACCUACACGCCCAACUCAAAAACCACACAGCACUCACGUUGGGGGACUCGCUGUGGUGACGUAGGUAAGCUCAGGGGACUGAGCUUAGCGGUGGAUGGAAGGGAGCAGCCCGGGGAGAUCGGAAGGUCAGCGCCCUGCGCCUCCCUUCCAGUCCCCGGGCCCGAGGAAGCGAGACACCCUGAUGUGAUGUUUGCGCUGUCCUCUGUGCACAGCAGGACGGAAGAAUGGUGGUCACCUCUGUCCAUCCUGCCUUCCUCUUCCACAAGUUCAGAAGCUGACGAAGCCAGUUCGCUUAAAGCCAAAGAUGGCUGUCAUCCUCCCGGCAACACAGAGCCAGCGGAUUGAAAGCCCCAUGAUCGCGGGCGCCAAUUCUCUAAGGAAAUCCUUCACGUGUGUGUCCUACUGGCUGUGCUUCUGUGGACACCCCGUUACCGCACUGCCCACACCCUGCAAUUCUGCACCGGUGAGAACUAGGAGACAGCUGACCUCUGCCCAACGGCAG
rnacentral:lncRNA from 1 species